CAAUAGCGUAUAUUAAAGUUGUUGCAGUUAAAAAGCUCGUAGUUGGAUUUCUGGUGGGAGCGAUCGGUCUGGCGCUUAGCGCGAGUACUUGCAUCGUCUCCGGCCCUCCUUGGGGAGAGUCUGUCUGGCAUUAAGUUGUCGGGCAGAGGAUCCUCAUCGUUUACUGUGAAAAAAUUAGAGUGUUCAAAGCAGGCUUAUGCCGUUGAAUAUAUUAGCAUGGAAUAAUAAGAUAGGACUUUGGUACUAUUUUGUUGGUUUGCGCACCAAAGUAAUGAUUAAUAGGGACAGUUGGGGGUAUUCGUAUUCCGUUGUCAGAGGUGAAAUUCUUGGAUUUACGGAAGACGAACUACUGCGAAAGCAUUUACCAAGGAUGUUUUCAUUAA
rnacentral:rRNA from 1 species